AUACUUACCUGGCAGGGGAGACACCAUGAUCACAAAGGUGGUUUUCCCAGGGCGAGGCUUAGCCGUUGCACUCCGGGUGUGCUGAUCCCUGCGAUUUCCCCAACUGUGGGAAACUCGACUGCAUGAUUUGUGGUAGUGAGGGUACUGCGUUCGCACUGUCCCCCA
rnacentral:snRNA from 1 species